rnacentral:tRNA from 1 species
UGAUAAUUAGUUUAACAAAAAACAAAUGAUUUCGACUCAUUAGAUUGUAACCUGCAUUACAAUUAUCAAA